rnacentral:rRNA from 1 species
AGUGAACGCUGGCGGUAGGCCUAACACAUGCAAGUCGAACGGCAGCACAGUAAGAGCUUGCUCUUACGGGUGGCGAGUGGCGGACGGGUGAGGAAUACAUCGGAAUCUACUUUUUCGUGGGGGAUAACGUAGGGAAACUUACGCUAAUACCGCAUACGACCUACGGGUGAAAGCAGGGGAUCUUCGGACCUUGCGCGAUUGAAUGAGCCGAUGUCGGAUUAGCUAGUUGGCGGGGUAAAGGCCCACCAAGGCGACGAUCCGUAGCUGGUCUGAGAGGAUGAGCAGCCACACUGGGACUGAGAGACGGCCCAGAGUCCUACGGGAGGCAGCAGUGGGGAAUAUUGGAGAAAGGGGGCAAAGCCGAUCCACACCCGCCGCGUGUGGGAAGAAGGCCUUUGGGGUGUAAAACGCCUUUUUUUGGGAAGAAAAAAUCUGGGGUUAAACCCCCGGGGGUUGAGGGGACCCCAAAAAAAAACACCGGCGAACUACGUG